CCAAUAGCGUAUAUUAAAGUUGUUGCAGUUAAAAAGCUCGUAGUUGAAUUUCGGGAUCAAUAUGUUGGUCGUGCCUUUGGUACGUACUAGCUUAUUGAUUUCUCCCUUCUGACGAACCAUGAUGUCAUUAAUUUGGUGUCAUGGGGAAUCAGGACUGUUACUUUGAAAAAAUUAGAGUGUUUAAAGCAGGCUUACGCUUGAAUAUAUUAGCAUGGAAUAAUGAAAUAGGACGUUUUGAUUCUAUUUUGUUGGUUUCUAGGAUCGAGGUAAUGAUUAAUAGGGAUAGUUGGGGGCAUUAGUAUUCAAUUGUCAGAGGUGAAAUUCUUGGAUUUAUUGAAGACUAACUACUGCGAAAGCAUUUGCCAAGGAUGUUUUCAUUAAUCAAGAACGAAAGUUAGGGGAUCGAAGACGAUCAGAUACCGUCGUAGUCUUAACCAUAAACUAUGCCGACUAGGGAUCGGAUGAUGUUAAUUUUUUAAUGACUCAUUCGGCGCCUUACG
rnacentral:rRNA from 1 species